AAGUCUUUGUUUUUAUUAGUUAAAAUAAACGCCUUUUAUAAAAUACCUAUCGCCCUUCUAAGGCGUGGGUCAAAGGUUCGAAUCCUUUAGGGCAUGCCA
rnacentral:tRNA from 1 species